GUGUGUUCGUGGGGUGGAGGUGUGUUCGUUGGGCGGAGGUGUGUUCGUGGGGUGGAGGUGUGUUCAUGGUGCGGAGGUGUGUUCGUGGUGUGGAGGUGUGUUCGUGGUGCGGAGGUGUGUUCGUGGUGCGGAGGUGUGUUCGUGGUGCGGAGGUGUGUUCGUGGUGCGGAGGUGUGUUCAUGGGGUGGAGGUGUGUUCAUGGUGCGGAGGUGUGUUCGUGGUGCGGAGGUGUGUUCAUGGUGCGGAGGUGUGUUCGUGGUGCGGAGGUGUGUUCGUGGUGCGGAGGUGUGUUCGUGGUGCGGAGGUGUGUUCAUGGGGUGGAGGUGUGUUCAUGGUGCGGAGGUGUGUUCGUGGGGCGGAGGUGUGUUCGUUGGGCGGAGGUGGGAAUUGGUGCGGAGGUGUGUUCGUGGUGCGGAGGUGUGUUCGUGGGGUGGAGGUGUGUUCGUGGGGUGGAGGUGUGUUCGUGGUGUGGAGGUGUGUUCGUGGGGCGGAGGUGUGUUCAUGGGGUGGAGGUGUGUUCAUGGUGCGGAGGUGUGUUCGUGGUGCGGAGGUGUGUUCGUGGUGUGGAGGUGUGUUCGUGGGGUGGAGGUGUGUUCGUGGUGCGGAGGUGUGUUCGUGGUGUGGAGGUGUGUUCAUGGUGUGGAGGUGUGUUCGUGGGGUGGAGGUGUGUUCAUGGUGCGGAGGUGUGUUCGUGGGGCGGAGGUGUGUUCGUGGGGCGGAGGUGUGUUCGUGGUGCGGAGGUGUGUUCAUGGUGUGGAGGUGUGUUCGUGGGGCGGAGGUGUGUUCGUGGGGCGGAGGUGUGUUCGUGGGGCGGAGGUGUGUUCGUGGGGUGGAGGUGUGUUCGUGGUGCGGAGGUGUGUUCGUGGGGUGGAGGUGUGUUCGUUGGGCGGAGGUGGGAAUUGGUGCGGAGGUGUGUUCGUGGUGCGGAGGUGUGUUCGUGGUGCGGAGGUGUGUUCGUGGGGUGGAGGUGUGUUCAUGGUGCGGAGGUGUGUUCGUGGGGUGGAGGUGUGUUCGUUGGGCGGAGGUGUGUUCGUGGUGUGGAGGUGUGUUCGUGGGGCGGAGGUGUGUUCGUGGGGCGGAGGUGUGUUCAUGGGGUGGAGGUGUGUUCAUGGUGUGGAGGUGUGUUCGUGGUGCGGAGGUGUGUUCGUGGGGUGGAGGUGUGUUCGUGGGGCGGAGGUGUGUUCAUGGUGCGGAGGUGUGUUCGUGGGGCGGAGGUGUGUUCGUGGUGUGGAGGUGUGUUCGUGGGGUGGAGGUGUGUUCAUGGUGCGGAGGUGUGUUCGUGGGGCGGAGGUGGGAAUUGGUGCGGAGGUGUGUUCGUGGGGCGGAGGUGUGUUCGUGGUGCGGAGGUGUGUUCGUGGGGUGGAGGUGUGUUCGUGGGGCGGAGGUAAGAGGGGACAGAGGAGGGUUGGGGCCGUCCCGGAGAGCAGGAACGGGGCAGGACCGUCUGAGUCUGAAUUGUGUGGGAGGAGGAGCCGGGAGCUGAUGAAAUAGCUCACUGUGCAUUCUUACUGCGAAUAAUGGAUAAAGUUCUACUCCUGUAGUUACUUGGUUACAUGGAUGUGUAGAACAGCUAAAGUUCCCGGUGCUACUGUUUAAAGAAAAGCGCAAAUCCUGCAAGCUUGCGAUGCGGUUUUGGCAUUCCUCGUGCAGUCCGAACGCUGCUGCCGCUGCACCGGCGCCGGUGUCAGGAGGCGAAAGGAGAUGAACGAGCCAAAAAUUGUUACCUGAAACCGCACUGCACUCUGAAGCCUGUUCCAAGCUGCAGGUGUUGGUUUGGGUUUUGUUGGUGGUGGUGUUUUUGUACAACUGCACCUUAACUGAAGGCAUUUGAGAAACAAUGAGAUACUUAUUUUUCUUCCCUUUUAAAAACUCAUUUUUAUAACAAAAUAGCACUCAAGUGCUUGCCCGGUGUUAGCCCUGCUGCGCCUGCCCGACCUGUCCAGGUGUGUUCCUCACAGGAAAAGGGCUGGAUGUGGAGAAUUCCAAACGCUCACCAGGGCAAGGGAGACUUGCCGGGUGCCCACGGCCUCUCCCAGGGACGCAGUCGCCGUGUUCAGUCCUUGCCCCACCAGCACCCCGAAGAGCUGGGUACAGGCUCCAGUUUGCUUCUACAAUAACCCCGCCUUGAAACGGCGAGUGUGUGUUCUACAUAUUCCUCUAGAUGCAAGAGUAGCUGCAGAGAAGGCAGGUCAUCUAGUCCCCAAAAUGUAAACAUGUUUUUAUUUAAUGCCUUUCACUCAUCACAAGGUACUUUUUCCCCAGCCCCCAAAACCAAGAUGGCAGCAUAAGGCACCGUGUAGACACAUGCACAGUCCCCAUACCAUCUAUGUAGGAUUUAAAACACAGCUAUUGUCCUCACCAACAGUACCAUGUGUCCUUAUUAUUCAUGUACACAAUACGAUUUUCCCCAGAGUUUGUUCUGGAGAAAUGAACAAUUAAUUUAGAAUGGUAAGACUUUCCCCCACCCACCCCAAAAAGCCAGAUUAAAAACACAGGCACAGAGCUUAACACCAGAGUAAUGAGAUUAGUUCAUAAAUUAAAAAAAUACAAAAAAGAAAAAAAAAGAACAGUUUCACUCUUAUUUUCAGAAGGUUCCCCGUGAUGUGAUGUAUUGAUGUAUUGUGCAGAGACUCCUUACGGCGUCCUCUUCCCCUCUCAAAAGCAAGAAAGCUGACAAGUUGCCCCAAGACUUGUAGUGUUUGUCACUGACGGCAAAAAGGCAGCUACAGCUCUACACAGCCGGCUGAACUGCGGCAUCGCAGCUGAUCCGAAGGCUCUUCCUCUGUCCAAAGGAAGAAGGACUUGACACAAUGUUCUUUGGCUGCAAGUUCUUAAAGGCUUCCACUGAAAGGGUUCUCCUUCAAAAAAAAGAAAAACUGCAGUUGCUGUGGGAUUUUUCAAUGACAAAAUGUUGAGGAAUAGGUGGAACCGAUGCGAUAGUUUGAGUGAAGCCCUCACAGUGCUAAGAUGUUGGGGUCUGCUACAAAUAUUCAAGUUCCAAGGCGUGCCGAAGAGCUUCCAGGUCGGCGUGACAAGAGAUUCUCCAGAACGGCAUG